UUGUGUUUGUUGUGCAGUCGUGUUUGUGUUUGAAUUUGUUGUGUUGUGCAGUUGUGUUUGUGUUGGAAUUUAUUGUGUUGUUGUGCAAUGGUGUUUGUGUGUGCAGUUGACAUUUUUUCCCCAUGAACACAUUCAGUUUGGUGGAGUGCAGAAUCAGAAUUCAGAACUUCACCUGGUCACUCAACACCAGCUCCAUCACCAUGGAAGCACAGCAGUGUCUCUACGAACUUCCUACGAACGCUGACUAAGGUCCAUCUCCCUCCAUCUAUCCUGACCAUGUUCUACAGAGGGACCAUUGAGAUCAUACUGAGCAGCUGCAUCACUAGUUGGCUUUGGAACUGCACCAUCUCUGAUAUUAAGACCCUACAGCAGAUAGUGAAGACAGAGUUCCUUCGGACCCUGUCUGCCGAAGAGAGAACAUCCGUAAAGCUGAGAGGGCCCACCGACCCCAAAGAAUUCAUGAAUGCGCUGGAGCCCUUUAUGGCCACCCUGGAGAUCAGCCAGGAAGGGGUUCUUGCCCAGUCCCCGCCACAGCCACAGCAACAGCCAUAGCUAGCACUGGUUGGGGAGUGGAGGAAAACAGAGCACUGUCCUGCCCCGGGACCCGCCGACAGAUGAAGUUUUCUUGAUGGUACCCAAGAUGCAAAAAUAGCUGGUUGAAUAUUUACUCAUUAUUCGUUCAAUCAAUCAAUCAAUCACUCAUGAAUAAAAUCCAUGCCUGGUUUCACAUUACCUAUAGCUCUGGCAUGAUAUUACUAUGGAUAACUGUGCACAACUCAUGCUGCCACUUUGACCCCACAAGCAGAAGUCUCCACGUGCCUUGACUCGGGGAGCACAGUUACUCUAGCACGUCCAACCAUCCUCCCUCCCGCAGUAAAGCCAGCAGGGACACUAGCGGUCUUGUGUAUCCAUGGCGAUGCCCGCUCCACUGCACAGGAUAAGAUCCACAGCAAGAUCUGCGAUUGGCCGCUCCUCGUCAGCCUCAUCCCAGACAUCUCCCUCUUACUCAGACAUGACUGGCCUGGCUUCGCCAACACAAUGAGCCGGCCACCAAGAAAAGAGCAGGUUGAAAGCAGAAGGCCUGUGUGCAGCAGGCGUGUAUAGCUCAGGAACAGCACAACGCCGAUGACUCCUCCCGAUUUAUUUAUAGGUUAUAAUACCUUAGACCUGACCGAGGGCUACAGGUAGUUUUUGCCCCAGACACAAAACCAAAAACGCCAUUCUGCACCUCCAACGGCCACUGGCAGGUGGCCUAUGUGGGGUUCUGGCCACCUUCCAGUGUCGUAAUCCACUCUGCCACGACCACUUAUUCCAUCUGGGGAGGUUCUGAGAGCCCUCUGGAAGGUCGGGCUGAUGGCAAACCCCCACAACAGUGACAACACGUUUUUCUUUUUUGACAUCAACACUGAAACCUCAACCCUCAAAAUUAACCCCAACUCACUUCCAAUAUUUAGAUCCACGAUUAUCCAGUUUAACAUAAUACCUGAGCUGUGCAGGGAUUAGAACACAGAACUUACACAUAAACCUGUGUAUAAUGUUAGCAAUUAAAGAAUAAAAUACAGUAAUAAAGCAGUUUUAAAUCAAUAUAAAAGAAACACAAAGACGAAUUACAAAGAGAGAAUCUUUAUAUAACUGAUCGAUAAUAAUCAGCCACGAUACAGUAAAAAGGACAGAAGACAUGUUUGAAUUAAAGUAAAUCUAUUUCAGCUCUUCAUUUAAGAAGGAUUUCAGUUCUAAGAGUUUUCUCUUCAUCACUUUUCACACUUUCAGGCACUUUAUGUUCCCUACAGAAUUAAGGCAUUAUUUAUAUGAAUCACUCAUUAUCUUUCAGCAGAAGGAGAUAGUCACUGGUCUGAGGUUGUAUCUCUCUCUCUCACGCGCUAGCAGGUGGUGGUCUGGAGAUGUCACUCGGUCAAGAUGGACGUGAUGCUUUUAGAGUCAAAGCUUCCAUCCUCUUCCUCUGAGCUGAGAGCUGAUCCCAGUGUGGGACGCCGUGUCUGUUGUAUCUUUCUCCUGACAAACACAUAACAGUCACACACUCGGUCACCUGACUGAAAGAUAUCAAGACCAGAGUCACACUGGCAUACUGUCAUCUCCACACAAAUCCAAACUUUAUUAUUAGAAUUAGUUUAAAAAUCAAAGCACAUUCAGUGAGAUCAAAAUACACAGAAAAGUAACAAAGAGCAACAAAGAAAUUAAGUGCACAUUUAACCUCAAAUAAAAUUAACAGUGUCAGAAGAUGAACUCCACUACAGUGCUGUAACAAACCUUCAGAAGCUUGGAUUUAUCUAAAUCACUGACCUCCUGACUCCGGGCAUAUCAGUAACAGUGUGUCAUGGCCUCUACAGCAGACAGUAUGUUUUAAAUGAUCAUACUACAUCAUCAUUUUAGGAUCUUAAUUUUUUUGUUUAGCCAUGUCGUGUUUUUAAAUCAAACCACUUGUGAAAGCAAAUAAGUAAAUUAUCCAAUUUAUUAUUUGUUUGUGUGUUUGUGUGUGUGUGUGUGUGUGUGUGUGUGUGUGUGUGUGUGCGCGCGUGUGUGUGUAUACAGUAUACAUAUUACUGUAUAGUAUACAGUAAUAUGGAUAUAAAGAUAAAUAUCAGGGUAAGUUCUUUUAAUAACAAACCAACUGAAAUUUGUUAAUUUUGCACUUAUUUUUAACUUGAAAUAUUACAAUUAUUGAUUGAUUUUAAAUAUUUCCAUUUUUUAUAUAAAAAAGCAAAAAUAAAUUUAUAACAAAUUA